AGCUACCAAAGAGGGGGAGAAUUCAGAGGAGAAUGUUUCCGACACUAGGGAUAAUGCUACCAUGCUAGCCCUUUAGUGCAAUGGUCUGAUGACUGAUCCAACUCAACCCUAAUGUGUGGAGAAUCCAAAAUGAGCUCAAUAUUUUUGGCCAGUGAGUUUGGGGCCCCUUUCUACCCGUGAGUUUCUAUGGCCAAUUUCUAGGCCUAUCUGCAUGGUGUCGUCAGCGGAGGUGGUGGCGGUCCUUGUGGGGACAGGACGCUCGCCGAGAUCAGGCUCAACCACAUCACCAUCCACGCCAACCCGCUCGUCCUCUGAACUCGCUCAUGUCCCGCCUGCCUACCUGGCUCGGCUCAUCCACUAGGAUCUGAGUGCAAAAUCAACCUUGUGAAUUCGGAUGAGGUGAGUAUUUUGCUGAGGACACUGAUUCGAAACAUCAAUCGAUGUGUAGCUCUCUAAAUCUAUACUGAUGCCGUGACAUGUAACUUUCUGGGUAUUUGCUAGCUUUGUUUUGCCUGUUUUUUCUUGCUUCCUCAAACAUCAAAAUCUUCACCGGCGACAGGGUGUGUUUGGAAACUACAUGGGAAAUGGCAUGAGAAUUAGUGGUGUGAGUUGACAUUAAUAUGUGAUUGCAGGUGCACCGGUGUUCAGCACUUUGCGCUACUCUUGAUUGUCCUCUCCUACAGUUCUGGUUCUAGAUACCACUUGCAUAGGUUGUAUCCUAAAGACUAUAGUUCUGCAUUGAUAUAAAAAGCUUGAUUACUUGCUUCGGAUGAUUCACACGAUCACAACCAAGACGACACCUUACCUAGAGAUUGUGGUAACUUCCAAUUCACCUGUUCUUUUUGGAUUGGUG
rnacentral:lncRNA from 7 species